CAAGUCGAGCGGAAACGAUCCUAGCUUGCUAGGAGGCGUCGAGCGGCGGACGGGUGAGUAAUGCAUAGGAAUCUGCCCGGUAGUGGGGGAUAACCUGGGGAAACUCAGGCUAAUACCGCAUACGCCCUACGGGGGAAAGCAGGGGAUCUUCGGACCUUGCGCUAUCGGAUGAGCCUAUGUCGGAUUAGCUUGUUGGUGAGGUAAUGGCUCACCAAGGCGACGAUCCGUAGCUGGUCUGAGAGGAUGAUCAGCCACAUCGGGACUGAGACACGGCCCGAACUCCUACGGGAGGCAGCAGUGGGGAAUAUUGGACAAUGGGCGAAAGCCUGAUCCAGCCAUGCCGCGUGUGUGAAGAAGGCUUUCGGGUUGUAAAGCACUUUCAGUGAGGAAGAAAGCCUUGGGGCUAAUACCCCCAAGGGACGACAUCACUCACAGAAGAAGCACCGGCUAACUCCGUGCCAGCAGCCGCGGUAAUACGGAGGGUGCGAGCGUUAAUCGGAAUUACUGGGCGUAAAGCGCGCGUAGGUGGCUUGAUAAGCCGGUUGUGAAAGCCCCGGGCUCAACCUGGGAACGGCAUCCGGAACUGUCAGGCUAGAGUGCAGGAGAGGAAGGUAGAAUUCCCGGUGUAGCGGUGAAAUGCGUAGAGAUCGGGAGGAAUACCAGUGGCGAAGGCGGCCUUCUGGACUGACACUGACACUGAGGUGCGAAAGCGUGGGUAGCAAACAGGAUUAGAUACCCUGGUAGUCCACGCCGUAAACGAUGUCGACUAGCCGUUGGGGUCCUUGAGACCUUUGUGGCGCAGUUAACGCGAUAAGUCGACCGCCUGGGGAGUACGGCCGCAAGGUUAAAACUCAAAUGAAUUGACGGGGGCCCGCACAAGCGGUGGAGCAUGUGGUUUAAUUCGAUGCAACGCGAAGAACCUUACCUACCCUUGACAUCGUGCGAACUUUCCAGAGAUGGAUUGGUGCCUUCGGGAACGCACAGACAGGUGCUGCAUGGCUGUCGUCAGCUCGUGUUGUGAAAUGUUGGGUUAAGUCCCGUAACGAGCGCAACCCUUGUCCUUAUUUGCCAGCGAGUAAUGUCGGGAACUCUAAGGAGACUGCCGGUGACAAACCGGAGGAAGGUGGGGACGACGUCAAGUCAUCAUGGCCCUUACGGGUAGGGCUACACACGUGCUACAAUGGUCGGUACAAUGGGUUGCGAAGCCGCGAGGUGGAGCUAAUCCCAUAAAGCCGGUCUCAGUCCGGAUCGGAGUCUGCAACUCGACUCCGUGAAGUCGGAAUCGCUAGUAAUCGUGAAUCAGAAUGUCACGGUGAAUACGUUCCCGGGCCUUGUACACACCGCC
rnacentral:rRNA from 1 species